rnacentral:tRNA from 1 species
GAGGGUAUAGCUUAAGAGGUAGAGCACAUGCUUAGCAUGCAUGAGGUCCUGGGUUCAAUCUCUACUACCUCCU